rnacentral:rRNA from 1 species
UUGAACGCUGGCGGAAUGCUUUACACAUGCAAGUCGAACGGCAGCACGGGGGCAACCCUGGUGGCGAGUGGCGAACGGGUGAGUAACACAUCGGAACGCGUCCUGUAAUGGGGGAUAACCUGGCGAAAGCCAGGCUAAUACCGCAUACGUCCUGAGGGAGAAAGCGGGGGAUCGCAAGACCUCGCGUUAUAGGAGCGGCCGAUGUCGGAUUAGCUAGUUGGUGGGGUAAAGGCCUACCAAGGCGACGAUCCGUAGCGGGUCUGAGAGGACGGCCCGCCACACUGGGACUGAGACACGGCCCAGACUCCUACGGGAGGCAGCAGUGGGGAAUUUUGGACAAUGGGCGCAAGCCUGAUCCAGCCAUUCCGCGUGAGUGAAGAAGGCCUUCGGGUUGUAAAGCUCUUUCGGCAGGAACGAAACGGUAAGGGCUAAUAUCCUUUGCUAAUGACGGUACCUGAAGAAGAAGCACCGGCUAACUACGU